rnacentral:lncRNA from 1 species
AAGAAAUAAUAAAGUAACUAAAACUAUUAAAAUAAAAUAAAAUAAAAUAAAAAGAAAAAAAAAAAUGGAAUACAGUAAAUAACCCAAAACCCACGUGACCCAUUCCCACUUUCAUUUCACACUUCCAUUAUCCAAUUUCUUUCUCUUCUUCUUUGUUUCCUGUUUCUAGAAUUUUCAUCCAAUAUCAUCUCAUUUCAAAUCACCAACUCCAUUCAUACAUCAUUCCUCGUUCAAAAGGAAAAAAUGAUACACCUCUAAAAGCUCUCUCAUAAUUUCACAUAUGUAAUUGAGGAUGAAUUGGGGUUUAGGGUUAGUGCUCUAAGGAAGAGGAUGAGUACCCAUUUCUUGAAAAUUUCUUAUUGAAACUCUUUGAGGUAAAUAUAUCAUCUAUAACUCAACAAUUAUCUUUGGGUAUAUGUAAUUUGGUUUAGAAAAU